rnacentral:rRNA from 1 species
UACGUAGGGUGCAAGCGUUAAUCGGAAUUACUGGGCGUAAAGCGUGCGCAGGCGGUUAUGUAAGACAGAUAUGAAAUGCCCGGGCUUAACCUGGGAACUGCAUUUGUGACUGCAUGGCUAGAGUUUGGCAGAGGGGGGUAGAAUUCCACGUGUAGCAGUGAAAUGCGUAGAUAUGUGGAGGAACACCGAUGGCGAAGGCAGCCCCCUGGGUCAAGACUGACGCUCAUGCACGAAAGCGUGGGGAGCAAACAGG